rnacentral:rRNA from 1 species
AUGGAUAUGGAACACAAAAUACCAAAAAAAUUAGGUGUACUUGCUACUCAUGGAGAUGGGGAACCUCCUAAAACCCUCGAUGCUAGUUAUGUGAAAAAUAUUAUGUACUACUUUGAUAAUCCUGAGAAAACACAAUUCAAUUAUGUUAUGGGAGACACGUUGAAUCAACAUGAAUACUUUAGGGAUUACCGCUUGACACAAAAAGGAAAACUAUUAUGGGAUCAAAUUCAUAUGUUGCAUUGGUAUGCUCGGGAACUAUGCUUGAGAUAUGAUUAUACUUGUUGCUCUAGGAUGAAGGCUCCACACCUUCCCUUUUCAUGCAAAUUUAAUGAUGAUAAAACCUUGGCUUCUUAUGCUAAUGGUAUAUAUGAUUACUAUGAUGUGCAACAAAUAGAAGAAUUCGUUGCUUUUAUGGGUGCUUAUGAAAUUGAAUCUUUGCUUAAAGAGUUUGAAGAUUUUGAUGAUUCAAUUUAUUGA